UACGUAGGCAGCGAGCGUUGUUCGGAGUUACUGGGCGUAAAGGGUGUGUAGGCGGUUGUUUUAAGUUUGGUGUGAAAUCUCCCGGCUUAACUGGGAGGGUGCGCCGAAAACUGCAAGGCUUGAGUACUGGAGAGGAUAGCGGAAUUCCUGGUGUAGCGGUGAAAUGCGUAGAUAUCAGGAGGAACACCGGCGGUGUAGACGGCUGUCUGGACAGUAACUGACGCUGAGACACGAAAGCGUGGGGAGCAAACAGG
rnacentral:rRNA from 1 species